AGAGUUUGAUCAUGGCUCAGAUUGAACGCUGGCGGCAGGCUUAACACAUGCAAGUCGAGCGGGGAAAGGUAGCUUGCUACUUGACCUAGCGGCGGACGGGUGAGUAAUGCUUAGGAAUCUGCCUAUUAGUGGGGGACAACAUCUCGAAAGGGAUGCUAAUACCGCAUACGUCCUACGGGAGAAAGCAGGGGACCUUCGGGCCUUGCGCUAAUAGAUGAGCCUAAGUCGGAUUAGCUAGUUGGUGGGGUAAAGGCCUACCAAGGCGACGAUCUGUAGCGGGUCUGAGAGGAUGAUCCGCCACACUGGGACUGAGACACGGCCCAGACUCCUACGGGAGGCAGCAGUGGGGAAUAUUGGACAAUGGGGGGAACCCUGAUCCAGCCAUGCCGCGUGUGUGAAGAAGGCCUUUUGGUUGUAAAGCACUUUAAGCGAGGAGGAGGCUACCGAGAUUAAUACUCUUGGAUAGUGGACGUUACUCGCAGAAUAAGCACCGGCUAACUCUGUGCCAGCAGCCGCGGUAAUACAGAGGGUGCAAGCGUUAAUCGGAUUUACUGGGCGUAAAGCGCGCGUAGGUGGCCAAUUAAGUCAAAUGUGAAAUCCCCGAGCUUAACUUGGGAAUUGCAUUCGAUACUGGUUGGCUAGAGUAUGGGAGAGGAUGGUAGAAUUCCAGGUGUAGCGGUGAAAUGCGUAGAGAUCUGGAGGAAUACCGAUGGCGAAGGCAGCCAUCUGGCCUAAUACUGACACUGAGGUGCGAAAGCAUGGGGAGCAAACAGGAUUAGAUACCCUGUAGUCCAUGCCGUAAACGAUGUCUACUAGCCGUUGGGGCCUUUGAGGCUUUAGUGGCGCAGCUAACGCGAUAAGUAGACCGCCUGGGGAGUACGGUCGCAAGACUAAAACUCAAUGAAUUGACGG
rnacentral:rRNA from 1 species